UUUGGUGAUGAUGGCAGAGAGGUCACACCCGUUCCCAUACCGAACACGGAAGUUAAGCUCUCUAGCGCCGAUGGUAGUUGGGACCUUGUCCCUGUGAGAGUAGGACGUCGCCAAGG
rnacentral:rRNA from 1 species